AUAUCCAUUAUGUCAACAGUACGAUUACAUAUAGAUAGAUAGAUAGAUAGACAGACAGAUAGAUAGCAUUAUAGUACCUAUGUGAAAACUGGCUUGUUUGUUAUAUUGUUUGGUGUGUGUAGCAGAUUCUCAGUACAAUAAUUUGAGUGUUAUGGGUAUGUGUGUGUGUGUGUGUGUGUAUGGAUAUCACUUUGAAUACAUAUAAUAUAACAGAUUGACUUGAAAUUAACUUUGCAGGGAAACAAGCGACAUGAAAAAGGAAGGAAGGAGUUAAGAACUGAAAUGUUGGUGGCACAGUGUGUGGUGGUAAUAUCGACUUGAAAUACAGGCAAUGUGAUAACAAACCCACUGUAACUUUACCUUGGCUGGACAACGAGAGACGACCAGUUAAAGAUUCAAGUGUUUCCACACUAAAUGAAAUGUUUGUUGUGUGUUUGUUACGAACGUGAAAUACAGGUAACACGACCUACAAAAUUAACUUAACAUUACAUCACACUAAAUCAAACUUAACUUCACCCUAACUUUGCAGGAAAAGAGAGAAAGAAUCACCUUCCUGUGUUUUCGAGACAGCGUGAGUGGCUCGGCUUCGUGAACCUACACUGCGCCUCUUCCCCCUCACUCUCUCUCUCUCUCUCUCAUCAGCCGCACGGAGACACGGACGCAAGGGCACCCCUCACUGUCACUCUCUGCCAGGACGCACGAACACACACAUACGCGCAUACUCCACCAUCUGGAUGAGGGAGCACAACUGUGUGUGUGAUGAGCUGCUCAAGAUUCACCCAAAUCUUGGGAUGACAACUGCCUCUACCAGACUGCCCGCCUUACUGUCAUGAUUGUCAUCAGUGAGGAGAGAGAGGGAGAGAGAGAGAGAGAGGUGACUAGUAAGAUGGAAGGUUAGAUAAUGAGAUAUUUUGGUAAGGUGGAGGAAAUGGAAGUGAAGGUUUGUUUUGGAAGGCAAGUUUGAAAUUAGAAGGGUGGAGUGAGUGAGAGAGCUGACAUCAAGGAACCACACACACGCUCUCUACCCAGUGCUGGAGGAGGUGAAUGAAAACGGCUGCCAGCUGAGGUUCCAGGGGCUCUACGCGUACCGCAGGAGGUUUAGCAUGCAGCCCUUCACCUCCUUCCUUGACCUGGCUGGUGACCCCAAACUGGCGGCUGACCUGGAGCACUUCUGCAGGGACAUAGAGGCUGUGGAGUACUAUGUCAGUCUUGUCACGGCACGCCCCGGCCCCUCGGUCACCCUGCCGUCCACGGUCAGUUUGGGAGGCCCCUGGAGUGUGAAGGGGCUCGUGGCUGCCCAUUUGCAGCCCUAAGUACUGGAAGUCCUCCACUUCUGGCAGCAAGGAAGGCUUUCAGGUCGUCAAGACAGCCACUCUGAAGAAACCCUUCUGCAACAACAUGAAAACGGGCCGUUAGAAUGAGAAUGUCGCGUUCACAGUCUCUCCCUGGUACGUCCUGAGCUUCCGGGGCUGCGUUAGGGUAUAUUCAUGCUACGGCUGCGUCUUCAGGUCCUCCCAGCCCAUCCUGGUGCACCCCGAGUCCCUGAAUGUGGGUUAGGGUGUCGGGGUGUGUGGCUGUUGCCUGGGAGGAAAUUGUGCCCGCUCUGAUGGUUGCCAUUACACUUUGACCUGGGAGGUACGCGUUGGUUGUGUAAGAAAAAUUCCUCCAAUCUCACCUGUCCUUCUCUCCAGCGCCGCCUCCGCCCCCCUGUCAGGUAUGGAGGGGUUAGGGAAAGGACGCCGUGCCCCAGCAGCUGCCCCUGACUGGCCAGCUGACCCCCCUUGAUGUCUCCAGGGCCGUGGUGAGGCAGGAGAGGGAGGACUCGAGGAAUUUUGGGGCAAGUGGAGAGGCCAAGAGAGAAAAAUAUUUGAAGGAUGCUUAAGUGAAGAUAAUAUUUAAAGGAUUUGUGGGAAAAGGAAAGUGGAUGAAAAGGCGUUUGUCUCGUGCCAGCGAACGUCCUGUCUGCAGUCGGACUGGUGGUGCCGUGUUGCAGGCUGUGACGUCAGGAAGAGCCAAAUGGAGGGUGUCUACAGCCAGAACUUGCUGCUGCUGCUGUACAGGUGUCACAAGCCAGGUGCCACAGCACACACCAUGUCACCUGACUCCACCAGUGUAUUGUCUAGUCCAGGAUGCAUUGCUGUACGAUUUGCAUGUCUAUUGCCAAUAAAUAAAUUUGUGACUAUU